GACGAACGCUGGCGGCGUGCCUAAUACAUGCAAGUAGAACGCACAGUUUAUACCGUAGCUUGCUACACCAUAGACUGUGAGUUGCGAACGGGUGAGUAACGCGUAGGUAACCUGCCUGGUAGCGGGGGAUAACUAUUGGAAACGAUAGCUAAUACCGCAUAAUAUUAAUUAUUGCAUGAUAAUUAAUUGAAAGGUGCAAUUGCACCACUACCAGAUGGACCUGCGUUGUAUUAGCUAGUAGGUGAGGUAACGGCUCACCUAGGCGACGGUACAUAGCCGACCUGGGAGGGUGAUCGGCCACACUGGGAACGAGACCCGGGCCAGACUCCUACGGGAGGCAGCAGUAGGGAAUCUUUGGCAAUAGGCGAAAGGCUGACCGAGCAACGCCGCGGGAGUGAAGAAGGGUUUCGGAUCGUAAAGCUCUGUUGUAAGAGAAGAACGGGUGUGAGGGUGGAAAGUUCACACUGUGACGGUAUCUUAACAGAAAGGAACGGCUAACUACGUG
rnacentral:rRNA from 1 species